UACGAGGGGGGCAAGCGUUGUUCGGAAUUAUUGGGCGUAAAGGGCGCGUAGGCGGUGCGGUAAGUCUUCUGUGAAAUCUCCGGGCUCAACUCGGAGCCUGCAGAGGAAACUGCCGUGCUGGAGUGUGGGAGAGGAGAGUGGAAUUCCCGGUGUAGCGGUGAAAUGACGUAGAUAUCGUAAGGAAGACCAGUGGCGAAGGCGAAUCUCUGGACAGUUACUGACACUGAGGCACGAAGGCCAGGGGAGCAAACGGGAGUUAGAAACC
rnacentral:rRNA from 1 species